AUGCUUACCUGGCAGGGGAGAUACCAUGAUUGUGAGGGUGGUUUUCCCAAGGCAAAGUUUAUUCAUUGCACUCCAGAUGUGCUGACCCAUCGAUUUUCCCAAAUGUGUGGAAACUCAACUGCAUAAUUUGUGGGUGUGGGAGACUGAAAAAAAAAAAUUUUUUU